rnacentral:rRNA from 1 species
UACAGAGACUGCAAGCGUUAUUCGGAUUCACUGGGCGUAAAGGGUGCGCAGGCGGCCAAGCGUGUUAGGCGUGAAAGCCUGGGGCUUAACCCCAGAAUUGCACCUAAAACUACAUGGCUAGAGCAUUGGAGAGGGUAGCGGAAUUCACGGUGUAGCAGUGAAAUGCGUAGAUAUCGUGAGGAACACCAGAGGCGAAGGCGGCUACCUGGACAAUUGCUGACGCUCAGGCACGAAAGCGUGGGGAGCAAAAGGG